rnacentral:lncRNA from 1 species
UUUUAAGCUAUGUUAAAAUGGUGGAUAGAAGUGACUUCUGCUCCAACUACACCCAUCUAACAGCUCUGUCAGACGGUUGCUUGCAUCUAACAUGAGAGCCCCUCAUGUUAGUUUUGUUGUAUGCUAAGAAUCAAUGCUAUCGAAAAUGUCACUGCAAAUGGAAGAUACUCGGCCUGCUCUGCUUAUGAGAUCUAGUUCGCUGCAUGGAUUGAGCAGCCCGGGAUUGCACACGUAUCGAGAACAAAGCUUGAGGGAAAGGUACGGUUCUACAUCUGGCUAUUGCUGCAGAAUAGAAAUUGGACUGCGGACAGGCUGCAGGCUAGACGAUGGCCAUACAAUGCCUGCUGUCGGCUGUGUGAUCAGGAGCCUGAAACCGCAGAACAUAUCACGCUGCGGUGCAGCUAUGCGAGAGAGGUCUGGUACCUAUUCCAGGGUACAAGUGACAGGAUUUACAACGUGGUGCACUCUGCAAACUCAGUUUCAGAUUGGUGGAACAGGCUCUAUAUGCAUUGCGGUGCACAAUCCAAGGCUGCGGAGGAAACAUCCCUCUCGGCAUACAUUGCUUGGCAUCUUUGAAAGGAACGGAACAUAAGGGUCUUUGAGAAUGCUGAGAUGGCGUCAAGAGCCUUGGUGAAUCUCAUUCAGGAUGAUAUCAAAAUGCUCAACGAGGCCUUCCGUCCUUCCAUCCAGGUGGCUGGGUAGAAACAUGGUUUAGGAUGCUGUCUAGUUUGCAUCUGUAGCUCUCUGUACGAGAGCAAGUGUUUUCCUGUGUUUUUGGCUUUUUUGGGCAGUUUGCCACCUCUACUUGUACCAUGUACCUCCUUCCCAUCUACAAUGCAAAGGCAGAGCUCCUGCUGUUCUUGUCAAAAAAAGAGAUGCUGCAAGCAUGAUAAUUUUUGAAAAAAAAAUCCGCUAAAGAUUUGGUUAUGUUAAAACUUAGGCAUGUACUCCGUCCAUGCUUGAAAAGAAGACGUAUAAAUGUGUGACGUCUGAUAGUGCAAAAAUUGAGUAUUGGUAUGAUUGAUAGUUUUCCUAAAUUUUAAUCAAACUUGGCACCGUUCGACUUAGACAUAAUUUGUACUCUUUUUUUUACUUGACUUCUAUACUCCUUAUUUUUCAAGUACAAAGGUAUAUACGUAGAGAGAGAAGCACUUAGUCUUUGGGUUCCCUAAAUUAAAAAAAAGGAGGGUUUGCUAAAUAUCAUGUACUUGAAAUAUUCGCGGUGUCGGUCACUUUCCUGUCGCCCUGAGCAUGAGAUGGGGGAGGCCGACCUCGUCGAGGAAGCAACAACCACAAUAUCUAUCUUAGGGUGUGGGGUGAAGGUUCGUCGGGAAGCACAACCUCAUUACCUAGAAUCGUCACAGUUGUUCACCGGUUGUAACAACCUGGAUUUUCACUGCCUGAAAAUUCCUUUUGCAAGUUGUGGCUUCUGCCUUUUUCUUCUGGUGUUCUUGGAUUUUCUUGAAACUUGGUGUAUACUUGAUGAUGAUUGACUUGCUUGGUUGCUCAAGCCUUGUUAACCUACCCAAGUUACCUUGACCCUGGAUAAUUUUGUCUUAAGUUUGGAUCACUAAAACCCUAAACCCUUUUACUAAAAUUAAAACCUAGAGACCAUCUUUGCACUGGGGACCCUUUUUCCUUUGACACUUUGGCCUCACCAAAUUUUCCAGAAACCCUCCUAUACCUAGAAACUCUAUUUCCAUUCAAACACCUAUAAAUCAAAUUUUGACUAGAGCAUCCUUCUUAAGUGUCUGCCAAAUCUGUUGACCUAUGAAGCAAGUGCAUUGUGCCUUUGUCCUAUGAAGCUGAAAUUUUGCAUAGAGACGAACCAAGGAUUGUACCUUAUCCUCUCCCUCCCUCGUCGUGCCCGUGGGCUAUGGGGAGGAUCCCCAGCUGCCGCCGCCCGCAACUCCCUUCCCGGCCCUCCUCCUCCUCGCCGCCGCCAGGGGACGCGGCUGGGCGAAGCCCAGCCGGCGUCGUCGGCGGCGGGACCUCUCGCCUCCUCACGCAGGGGCUCCGGUGCGGGCCGGCGCCGCUGGGUCGGGACUCCGUGCGGUUGCAGGGCGCGGUGGCGCAGCACAGGCCUCUCCAGCAGUGGCCCUCGGGGCUUUGGGCGGCGUGGCNNNNNNNNNNNNNNNNNNNNNNNNNNNNNNNNNNNNNNNNNNNNNNNNNNNNNNNNNNNNNNNNNNNNNNNNNNNNNNNNNNNNNNNNNNNNNNNNNNNNNNNNNNNNNNNNNNNNNNNNNNNNNNNNNNNNNNNNNNNNNNNNNNNNNNNNNNNNNNNNNNNNNNNNNNNNNNNNNNNNNNNNNNNNNNNNNNNNNNNNNNNNNNNNNNNNNNNNNNNNNNNNNNNNNNNNNNNNNNNNNNNNNNNNNNNNNNNNNNNNNNNNNNNNNNNNNNNNNNNNNNNNNNNNNNNNNNNNNNNNNNNNNNNNNNNNNNNNNNNNNNNNNNNNNNNNNNNNNNNNNNNNNNNNNNNNNNNNNNNNNNNNNNNNNNNNNNNNNNNNNNNNNNNNNNNNNNNNNNNCGUAGAUUUGGCAGUUGGCGGCGGCGGGCGGCGUGGGCUGCGGGCGGUGUGGGCCGACGGCGAUGGCUGCAGGUAGAGGCUGUGGGUGGUGCGCGUGCCUGCUGCGGCUGGUCCUUCCAGCUGGUGUGGGAAAUGGGCGCGAGGUGGAGGCAGCGGCCCGGCGUUGGUCGUUGCGAGGGGCGUGGGCUACGGCGUGGUGGCCUCACGGUGUUUGGUCGGGCCGGCGUUGCGGCGACGGCUGGAGUCAGGUUUGGCAUCUGUUCAUUCGCAGGUGGCCUGUGUGGAUGCCCUGUUGGUUGUCUUCGGCUUCGGCUACGGCCUGUCCGGCGAUCUCUGCAUGGCUGGGCGGGUGGUCGGUCCUUGCCAGAUACAGAUCCAGCUGGGAGCAGAGGUUGGGCGUCAGGGGUGGCGUUUGGAAGAGGUGGUGGGUGUGAUAGGUGGCUCCGAUGCGGUCGGGCCACCCGUCACCAGCAGGGGUGCCGAGCGUUGACGACGUCCGCUCCCGCUUCACCUUUUCUUAGACCUGAUGGCUCCCUGAUCGGUCUGGUCGUUCUGGUCACCGGCACUCUGGCGGCGGUUGGAGCAAGCCGGUCGGUUCAUCGCUCGCAACUUGAAGGACCUAUGGGGUGUCUUGUUUCCUGGACGGCGGUCUGGUUGGCGGGGGCUGCGGUGCUCGUGGGCAGAGCUCGUGGCUCAGGUGCAGGCGGCUAGCAGCCAUGGCCGCGGGGGCGGCGUGGUGGCUGGCGGUUUGAUGUUUCGUGGUGGUGUGCCAUUUGGGUCUUGUGCCUGGCGGCACCUUGGUGAAGGCGGAGUAUGAUUGCCGGGGUGAAAAUCUUGCCUGGCAUUGGCCGAGCCGACGGAGGCGGCGCCCGUGGUCGUCGUCAUCUUCCUGAAGUCUCCGUUGUGGUUGCUCCUUUCCCUUCGUCGUGCUCCAGAUGAAAAUCUAGAUCUUUGGAUCGGGUGGUGGCGGCGCUUCGGUGUUGUAUCCUUCCUGAAGGCACUGUCUUGGAGCUCACGGUUCAUCAACUCUCAGCUUCACCUCUUCGUGGUAUCUUCACCGUGAAAGGCUCCGGCGGCUCCGUAGUGUUGCUUACAGUCAUUGUUUAGUCUACUUCAAGUCGUUCGGUGUGUUGUUGUUGUAGGUCCUUGGCACCUAUGUAUCUGGCCUUGGGUGUGUGUUGGUGUGGCGUGUUGUCGUUUGUAUCGGCUCGGAUGUUGGUUGGUGCUUUAUAUAUAAAGCGGGGCGAAAGCAUUUUUCGGUAAAUUUUGCAUAGAUCAUAACCUAGCCACAUAAAGCCUAACCACCAGUUUUGAGCCUCACCCAACUCUUACAAACCCAUCCACAAAUUCCCAAACUUUUUAUACACCAAACCAUUUUGUGAAGGAAGUAUAUUUUUCACCCAUCCAUUGGACCUCAAAUUUGCCAUGGUGAUCAACCAUGACAAAACAACCUCACCACCCUAAUUUCCUCAAAGUCCACCACUCCAUUUGACCUACACAAAUUAUCAAAGAUUUUGACCAAAGAACAAGUUGUACAUGAAGUACCACCUACACUCAUCGAUUUGGCCUAAAACUUUGCAAACCAUUCUACCAAACUACACUACUCUCAAGACUAAGUCAAAGAGUGAAUCAAGUUGAUCAACACACAAAGCAUACAAGAUGUACGGAGAGAGAUCAAGUGAUCCCAUGGUAUGGUAAGCAUUGUCCAUUACGCUUUGUGUACUAACCCAUGGUCUACGUGAGAGUUCUAUGUGGGGUUAGGUAUGUUUCCAUAGGUUUGCAUCAAGAGGAAGAUCUCAUACAACCCAUGAAGGAUGACAUUAAGUGGUGAUUGAUGUCGCUUGAAGCUACGUCGGUAUUUCCCCAAAGAGGAAGGGAUGAUUGAUAUGUCUCCAACGUAUCUAUAAUUUAUGAAGUAUUCAUGCUAUUAUAUUAUCCUUCUAGGAUGUUUUAUAUGCAUUUAUAUGCUAUUUUAUAUGAUUUUUGGGACUAACCUAUUAACCUAGAGCCCAGUGCCAGUUUCUGUUUUUUCUUGUUUUUGAGUAUCGCAGAAAAGGAAAACCAAACGGAGUCCAAUUGACCUGAAACUUGACGGAGCUUAUUUUUGGACCAGAAGAAGGCCAUGGAGUAAAAGAGUUGGGCCAGAAGAGUCCCGGGCUGCCCACGAGGGUGGGAGGCGCGCCCACCCCCUGGGCGCGCCCCCCUACCUCGUGGACAGCCCGGAGACCCCCCUGACUUGUUCUCGAUGCCAAAACCUCUUUUAUAUACAAAACCUCCAGAAAAUAACCUAGAUCGGGAGUUCCGCCGCCGCAAGCCUCUGUAGCCACCAAAAACCAAUCGGGACCUUGUUCCGGCACCCUGCCGGAGGGGGGAAUCCCUCACCGGUGGCCAUCUUCAUCAUCCCGGCGCUCUCCAUGACGAGGAGGGAGUAAUCCACCCUCGGGGCUGAGGGUAUGUACCAGUAGCUAUGUGUUUGAUCUCUCUCUCGUGUUUUUUGCAUGUAUGUAUAUUUUUGGUAUCUCUCACAUACAAACGCGAAUUUUGAUGAAAAUUCGCACAAUAUAUUACACUUCUAUGUGUGCACGUAUAAAAGAUUUUGGAAUUUUUUUUAGUUGUAAAAAUCCAAUUCUCUGAACUUAAGAGAAACUGGCACAAUAUGCCCGUGCUCCAAUGUUACCUUUUGCACAGCAACACCGUAUAUAUAAUUCGACUUUAUGAAAGUCCACUGUGCAUAUUUUGGCGUGGUGGAUAGCUUAUGCGUACAAUACAAUCUGCGACUGUGAGAUCUCAGCAUGGAUUCUAAAUCAUGCAAUUUAUUUUUACUAUUGGCUUUCAUACGUGAUUAAAUAAAAUAUGAGGCGACUCCUCACGCGUAGGCUACCCAGCUCCUCCCCUGCUCUCAGCCACUUACAUGUGGGCCACCGCCACGCUGUCACUCCAUGCCGGCAUAGCAUACGUCUGGAUACGGAAGGAAGCACCGUAUUUGCACAACCAGACAAGUUCGAGCAUCAGUUCCAUGUAUUUUACAACUUUAGGCACCAAACUGACCGUACCAAACAAGUUGAGGCACCCCUAGUGUAUUUAACUCCAUGAAUAAUCCAGAGGUGAAUUCACAAAUUGCAGUACCAGCUUUUUAACUCUGUCUGCAAUCAACUCCUUAGCUUUAUCCUCUUUAACCUGUAGGAAAGCAGACCAUACAUCAGAUAGAAGAAAAUAUUUCAAUGAAUUACACCUGCAUGUCACAUACAAAAGACGCUACUUACUCCAGGGCGAAUGGCUGCCGUGCAGGUAUGGAACUGAAGUCAGGAAGAUGAAAAGAGAUAAGCAUAUAUGCACAGAAAAGAAUAUUAAGUUACAAGUGCAAAUUAUCUAUUAAUCAAAACAGCUAACGUACGUCCUCUUCCAGCAACGUCAUGGUGUACUCAUGGUCCAGCGCAGUUUGCAUUAAACCUUGUCGUACCGGAAACUUGUUCAUCUUACAAACGUCCUCCAUAGCCUUUCAGAAACUCUGUUGAACAUUAUUCAAGGGAAAGGUCGUGCAUUGCUAAACAUAUACAGUGUAUUCGAAACAAUGAACCAUCAUUGAGUAGUUGCUUAGUUGCGCAUAACACACUAACCGUUCCCUUUGUGACCCGCCGCCAAAUCUCAAAGUACAAACGAUCAUACUCCUUAAACCAAGUAUGAUAAUAGCAAAUGCGCUCUUUAUACUCCUAAAUCAAGUGAAUGCAACUGUCAGAUACAAUAUAGGCCAUUGUAAGCUACAUUAAAUUCAUGUGUGUGAAAGAUCCUACAUCAAAGCCAUUGUAAGCUAAAGUAGGAGUGAUCUUGGGAAAGCUAGUAGCAGCAAUCUUAAUUGCUUGAAAUGCUCCUCGGGAAGAUAUUUUACCCCACUGAACAACAACAAAGUUAUGAGGGUGUUACAAGAUAUACAAAUAAUUAACAGUGUCAUUCCAAGAAUUUUGUAAGGCCAUACUUACUUUGACGGAUGAGCGGCAAAUAUCGACAUAAUCUUCCAUCCACUGUUGCCAGAGAAAAAGAAAGUUGUAAGUCCAAAGAAGCUUGAAAGCAUUGAACAAAAUUAGACGAUUUCCUUAACAUGAUCUCUGAUACAUACCUUCAGUCGCUUGGAUAAUUCCUCGCAGUACUUGAGAUACUCUCGUUCAAUAUCAUAGCUAUGAAGGUAGCUAUGGUAGUCACUCCACAUGCUGUACUCGGUACCACCCUACAUUGAAAAGGACAGAGAGAGAAAUCGAUUGCUUAGCAAUUUUUAGAACGACAGGCAAUUACAUAACCUAAGCAAAGAUUUGAUUGAACUAAAGGCUUGAAGCUGCAAAGAAAAAAAAACAAUUUUUAACCAUAUAUGAUAAAAAGAAAAAUAAAUAAGUGGCUAGUAUUUAUCAGAAAAUACAAUUCAGUUGCUUACAAAACAAAAAAAAUUAUUAGACAGAGUCAAAGAGUCAAUCAGUGAGCCGUUUCAUACCGAAAAAGGCUUUCGCCCCGCUUUAUAGAUAAAGCAACGACCAGAAGUACAAAUCCGGAUACAACACGCAACCACCCACACAACACACACACCCAAGGCAAGAUAAAAGGGUGCCGAUGCACCGCAACACUACCCAAUCGACCACCAAGCACACUACCAAACACUUGGGGCCGACGAGGACCUUCCGAGACCUAGCCACCGAGAAGAAGUGAAGCGGGACAAUGGCGAAGCAUGGACUCCAAGGCGGUGCCUUCAAGAAGGGCACGACAUCGAAAGUCGCCACCGCCCGAUCUCGGAGAUCAAGUUUUCACCCGGAGCAAGAUGGAGAGAAGAGAACACCACGACGGAGCCUUCAUGAAGGAAACGACGCCCGCGGCCGCCGCCACCGUCGGCCGGAGAAGACUGGGCAAGUUAUGCGCUCUGAUGUUAACCCUCUACCAAACCACCAUGCUUCGCCAAACAUCGCCAGCCAUGCCACCCACGUGGCCAUGGCUGCCCGACCGCACCCAAGAUGCGCGCUCCGCCCACGAACGCCGCGUCUCCCACCGCCAGGGCCGCCGCCUAGCAUCCAAGCAACUCCGUGAACACCCAAAGGCCUUGGCUUUGGCCUGACUGGCAGCCGCCGCCUAUGGAGAUGCCAGCAACCGCCCUGCCUCGAACAUCGCCAGAACCCCAACAAAGAGCACAGAACCGAGGAAAGGGGGAGGGGAGCGGACGCAUCCGGACCGGUGCACCCCUGCACCGGCGACAGGUGGCCAUCGGGGCCUCCCAUCCCUCCUGAGAACUCCCCACCGGACACACCCCCGUGUCGCCUCACCAUGGCGCCCGCCGCAGCUCGACGCGAGGCCACCAACGGCAGCCCGCCCAACCAUCGACAAGGAGCGCGAAGCCAACCCGCACCCGCAGCCAAGAGCACUCACCGGGAGAGCCACCCCGCGCCGCUCGCCGUCGUCCAGGGGCCGGAACAGGGGAGCCCUGACUGGAGGUCGGCCAGCACGCACCACCAGCUCGCGCGCCCGCCCCGAGCCCGUCCGCCGCGCCACAUGCCACAGCAGACGUGCCCACCCUGCCGGAGAGGCGCCGCGCGCCGCCCCCGUCCGCCGGCCCACCAGAUCUGGCCGAGCCCAGACCAGGCCGCCACCGCAUCCGCGAGCAAGAGCCACCUCGUGAAGCCCACCGCGCCGCCACCAGGCCCUCACUACCCCGCCGCCAGGGCCCGCCGCCACGCCUCCGCGCCCCUCACCAGUGCGAAGCUCGGCCGGACGCCAUCGACCCGCGCCAACAACCUCCGAGCGGGAUGGAGAUGGAGCCCCGCCGCCACCGGCGCCGGCGGGCUUUGCCCGACAGCAAGGUCCGGCGGCGGCGAGGGAGGGAAGGGAGGAGGGAAGGCUCGAAGCCGGCGGCUAGGGUUUCCCCCCCGGUCGCCACACGGGAGCGACGCGGGGAGGGGGGGGAGCUCUGAGCCGUUUCAUAAAAGACGAAGGUAAUGAGCACUAAGGAAUAAGGUGAAAAGAUUUUAUCUGUGGGCACCAUAUUUGGUCCUGCUACAUUUCUCUACUUCUUUCUAAACAAGAAUGGCAGUUUUGGAGACUGCAUAAUGUGUGUGAUUGACAGACAAUUGCGCCAGUACAAUUGACCACAAUUAUAAAUUGAAGAUAACUCACAUAAUUUUUUAGGACUAGGCGUUGAUAGUCACUCAGGGAAGCACAUUCGCAGUAAGCAGGGUAGAAAAACCAAUCGAGUGUUCCGUCUUCUUCAAAGCUAAUGAAAAAUCCCUUCUCCUCAAGAAACUCCAUAUUACAGUCAUGCUCAGUUUUAUCCAUAAGGUUAUCAUCCUCUUCCGAUGUAGCGUCAUCUUCCUCAAGGAAAAGAAGUUGCUUCUCUGUCAAUGUAGCUAAAUAUUCCCUUUCUUCCUUAUCGUCCUCUUCUUCCUCGAGAAGGUUAUCACCAUGCGGCUCUUCCUUGGGCUGUGACAACUGUAGACAAUGAGAUGACAUAGAAGAUCAAAUUAAAUGCAAACAUGAGGUUAAAUAAUCCAGCAAAUAUAGGAUAGAAGAGAAAGUAAAUGGUCGCAAUAGAAUGCAUGGCAUGUGUGAAUUCUGGCAAUUAUACAGAUAGAACUGUGGAAUUUAACCUUGUAUUUGUAAUAUCUGAAGCGGCACAGUGCAUGGUCGACGUAUUGCUGAACGAGACCCUCUUCUGUCAGCCCAGCUUUGAGAUCAACCCACGGAGGCCCGGGAGCCAGCUGGUCAAAGUAAGCAAGGAACUCCUCAUCGCUGAUAUCCUCUCCCACGCCCGAUUGAUUCAGCUCUUGGAUCAAAAGUUUCGCUUCACGUAUAUCUUGUAUGUGCAACUCUGUUUUCUUGACAUCAACUACACACUCGUCGGGAUCAGAUUCGGGAAUGUCCUCUGCUGCAGGGUGCUCAUGCUCGUGCAGCAUCUCUCCGCUCGAGCCCGUGCCCGCGGCCGCCUUUUCGGGACGCACACCGACGGCGCCCUCCGCUCGUGCUCGAGCACCCCGACCCCUUUACGCGAUGCGGCGGCGGCAACCGUCGAAACCCUAACCUAAUCGGCCAUGGCCGGGAGAGUCCCGUCUCUGCGGUCCUGGCACCGUAAGGUAUGGAGUACCUUCCAAACUGAAAACGUGUCUUAAAAACAGCUAUAAAAGUCCGAAAAGAAGUAUAGAUACAGCUGUAUUUUUUUUAAAAUCAUAUCCCACUCUUUAUUUACGAUUCAACCAGUGUUACAUCACUUUUUUUAACUGACCAGUGUUAUAUCACUUAAUAAAAGAGGGAUGAGCUUGCUAGGAGGCUCAACAACAAAAACUAUUACAAGAUGGGCCCUUAGCUAAAUUUGCUAAUUCAUGAACAACAGAAUUAGCCUCUCUAGGACAGUGCACAAACGAGGUAUAAGGUUCCAUCUUCGAUGGUUUCAUGCGGCGGCGGCGGAAGAGAGAGGGUGGGAGAAAAGAGCGAGAAUUGAACGAAGAGCGGUGGGGAGUGGAAUAUUUUCGCGUGGAAACAGUGCGGGAUGCUACAAAAGCGCGGGCUCUGCCUUUGUUUUGGGUGGGUCAGGGGGCCGGAGAGCGACAUUUAGUGUGUUCGAACUCCCGCAACGCCCCUACAUUUGUCUCCGGUUUGUGGUAAAAAUCGCGUUCAGACCGCGCCGCCAACCGAUACAGGACCGCGUUGGAUGGCUUUCGUGGUUCGGGCGGUUGCGGGAGGUUUGCAGGUCAGCAUUGAAGAUGCCCUUAUCUGUAGCAAAAAUGACCAUUGGCAUCUUCUUUCGAAUGAAUCUAACAAUAUAUUUUUAUGAUAUACCACUUAUAUUGUCUAAAUCAAAUGUACGGUCAAAGUUUGACAAAAAUAUAAGGUUGCCUAAUAAAAUCACAUAGAGAGAGUGAUGCAUAAGAUCUAUUGUCUUUGCAUUGUGCAUGUACCGCCGUUAUCGCUGCAUUUCGUACUACCAAAAACAAACUAGAAAACUAUAUCUAAUUCAUCAAAAGCAUAAGAAAAUUUUCAUUGUGCCGCCGGAUAUCUAGAAGCAUGCACGAAUUGUUGGGGCUUUACUAAGUCCUCGACAAUUCCAAUCCAAAAUUUUCAUAGCAAGUAGUCCUUGAAAGAUGCUACUAAUGAUGGUAUUUUUGUUGAAUGUGAGCCCCCCUUACUUCCUAGAUCUCUUAUUAAACUCUUCGUCACUCUCACUUCUAGGGUCAAUUUUCUUCUCUACAACAAUAUCCUUGAUCACCAUGUUACCUACAUCCCCAACUGGCGGGGUAUAGGUGGGCUUCUUUAGUGUGUGUUUUUGACUCAAUGGUGUGCUUUCCUCAAGUGCCAACAUAUGAUUUGCAUUCCUCUUACCAUCUGUCAUGAUGAUGUUCGUUGAUAUUUAACUAGGCUCGGCGCGUUAUCUGCCAACUCACUGCCUUCCUUCUCCCGGGGCUUCUCAUUAUGUUGAGGUUGGUUCUUUUGUCAAAAUGCUCACCACAUCCCCUUCCGACGACCACCAUCAGUGCGCCUGCCUCUUUGUCUACCUGGAUGGUCGGCCCCUCUUCCUCUUCCACUGGAGAUGAUAUGACCAUGCCAUGUGCCUCGCAUAGCCUUAAGGUAGACACCCACAUGAGAUCUUUUUCCUCAAACUCCCCGGUACCACAUUCCUCAAAUUUGUGAACCAUGAUACCACAUGCCUUGUAGAAGCCUGGGUUUUUCUAUUGGAUUUUGUAGAUUUACCGUUGGCCUAGUCUUGAGAUCAUACAACUCUCCUAGCUUCCUAAAAUGAAUCCUCACAAAAAUUCUUUGGGAAUUUCCACCCAUGGUGUUCAGUUUCAACAUAGAUGAUCGAACCAAUUAUUCUAGCUAGGUUAGUUAAUAGGGCCUUUGAUCAUACACGUGGAGAGCUUGCAAUUUGGAUCCAAAAUAGUGAUAUGAUUCUGAUCAAUCAACUUCAGGGCCGAUAGACCAUCAUAUGGUUCGAUUAUCAUGCCAUCACUUUGAAAGAGCGAUGGACCUCCCUUUGUCACCUUCUUCCAAUACACUAAGCAGAAGCUCCAAAUCAUGGACAUAUUAUCCUCUAAAGUCCUAAAUCCGAUCUCCUUCACUGGACUCUGGGCCACAUUUAUAUGACCAUAACGUGCUUAACAUGGAAGGAUUGCUCAUUUGAACUCCAGCAAUGAGCAUACACUUGACUAGUUGACUUCUUACUUUGCCACAUCUACAACUUUUUACACAUGAGAUCAUAAAAGUCCUUUCUCAUUGGGGCCCAUACGUUUGCAGGAGAUCAUUGAUGCACGCCUCUCUAGACCCUCAUGACUCGUCACGGAAGAGAAUUGUGCCACCGCCAGCACCGGAGAAUGGAAUGCAACGAAAUUUAGAUCACACACUCCUAGUUAUACGCGCAAGCCAUCCCCUUAGUGUGUGCACACAUGAUAGAGUAGGAAUCAAAAACGUAUUAGAGAAACCAUGGGAAACCUCACGUUGAGAUAUAUGGCUAUCAGUGGCCACAAAACCUAUUCUUUAGAGACACGCAAAAACUAGUCCGUGAUAGUUUAUAGGCCACUCCUACGGAUUGCGAAACAAUUGUACCUUGGCCGACUCAGGAUUUGGUUAUUUCUGUGUUACAACAUCUAAAAGACCAACCGAUGUGAACUUGUGUUCAUGUUCGGUCGAAAAUCCAACUCGAGAGUUGCGGGCUAAGGCACUCUCGUCCGUGAAACGAGGAUUAAUAUUGUUGUAUCAAAUUGCCGGCAAAAUGCAUAUUGACGAUUUUAUCUGGGGUUUCAAUAUAAAUUUGACAUCAGGUUUUUAGGGUUAAAAUUUGACACCCCGAUUGAACGCAUAGCAAUUAAUUGUUGCGGCAUGACAAUUUUUCUGUUGAUUUUUUACGUUGCACGGCAAUGUUCACCGUAGAACAUGGCAAAUUAUUAUACACAAGCAUGACAAUUUUAUCUGUUUUCGCAUGGCAACCAUUUUUAGCGCUAAAAAUCUGAUGUCGGACUUUUAACAUUUCUGUCUAUUUGCGGUUUUGUUCCAUUGUUUUAACAAAAAAAUAAACAAAAAAAUUUAAAAUACAAAUUCUGAAAGAAUGGAAAAACUAAGGUUAUUGGGCUGUGGGCGCCCCGUAGGCGUGGACCUUUACUAUUUGACGCUCGGGGGUGCUCGGCAUUAACCGCCUGAGACCGCGUGCGCGUAAAUCUUAAGCAGCGCUCCGCUUACAUGCUAAGCUAAAAGAACACCUCACGCAGCGCAAUAUAAUCCCCUCCCAAAUCGGGAGCAGCCCGGAAAAACGCGAACCGACUCUAGCUGAAGCAGCUCUCAUCGCCAUCGAUCCUUCUCGAUCUGCUCCGAUGGCCCACGCCGGCGCCGCCAAGCCCGAUCCGGAGAAGAAGUCCUGGGCCGACGUCGAGGAGGAGGAGGAGGCCAAGGCCAAGGCGGAGGCGGAGGCCGAGCUCGCCGCCGCCGCCGCCUCCUCCUGCUCCUCCUCCUCCGCCCCCAUCGAGCCGGUGGUGGAGGCGCAGGCGAAGCAGAUCGAGGCGCUCUCGCUCUCCGUGCCGGACGACGACGGCGGCGCCGAGGGCCCGCCCCUGCUCGACGACUCCGACGACUCCCAAAUCCAAGCCGUACGCGCUCUCCUCCGCUCCCCGCCGCCGCCGCUGUCCGGUGGCCUCGAUGUCGGCCGGCUGAUUCGGUGCUUUGCUUCUCCAGGUGACCUCGGGCGGCACGGUGUACGAGUCGGCCACGACCUUCGAGGACGUGAAGCUCACCCCCGAGCUGCUCAAGGGGCUGCACGACGAGAUGGGGUUCAGCCGCCCCAGCAAGAUCCAGGCCAUCACGCUCCCCAUGAUCCUCACGCCGCCCUACAGGGACCUCGUCGCGCAGGCGCACAACGGCUCCGGCAAGACCACCUGCUUCGUCCUCGGCAUGCUCAGCCGCGUCGACCCCAACCGCAAGAUGCCCCAGGCCAUCUGCAUCUGCCCCACCAGGGAGCUCGCGCAGCAGGUCUCUUGACUUGAUCCUCUACACUCCCACGCUCUGAUAUGCUCUGCUCUCAUCUGGUUAUUGGAUAUAACAAACUGCAGUGGGGAGCUUGAUUCUGCUAGUUUUAUACCCUGUAUAAUAAUGUACUGAUUCUGAUUGGUUGGUCUGUGCAGAAUAAAUCUGUGCUCAUGAGGAUGGGCAAGUUUACCGGCAUUACCUGUGCCUGUGCAACCCCGCCGGCUCAGAAAGAUUAUAUGCCCAUCAGCAAAAUGGCUCCGGUGACCGAUCAGGUGGUGAUUGGCACUUCUGGGACGCUCACCAAGUGGAUUACCCAUAAGAAGCUUGCCACUAGGGAGAUCAAGAUUCUUGUGUUCGACGAGGCAGACCAUAUGCUUGCCGAGGUACAAUUUAGUUAUCUUGUCAUCGAUCUCUUUGUGCCGUUGAUACACCCAGUGUUUUCCGGACUACUUACUGUUAGUUUACACGCAUGCUAACAGUGAAGCGAGAAGGAUAACAAGGUUCAUACUCAUUAUAGGAGUUAUUUCUCAGCUGCAAAUGAUAAUGGCAUUGACAGUAAUAUUCAUUCGAGUAUAGAACAGAUGGUUCUUAGCAGCAAACGAUGAGGGUAUUUUGAGAUCAUGUCUCAUAGACCUUUCCCUUUAUAGCCGUCAGAUGUACGUCGGUAACUAUCCUCAAGAAGCAAAGCAGUGGCGCUUAUUUGCUAGGCUUGCGACUAACCUGCUUCCUCUUGGGUAGGUAACUUUCUUGUGGCUUAACUGAAAUCAAAUGACCAUCAGCCUAGUAUUGAGUCAAUGAAUCUGAGUAUGAAAGAAUGCAGCCAGUGAAGUUUUUACUCCUGAUAUCCUAGUGGCAUUAAGGGGUGUCAUCAUGGUGCAGUUGUGUUAUUUUAGGUGUGAUGGCCGAAAGCUCUUGGUAUCUGUUUGGUCUGAGUGGAUAAAAAUAACAGAAAAAAAGGCAUUUGUUUUCCAAGGACAUAAAUUAGUAUGGAGUCCCAACAGUAGAAAUAUUCUUAUAACUAGAACCAAAAUUUGGUGCGCUCAAAAUUCCUUACCUUGUCUGCUGAUGAACUUCUGUCCACGACGUAGCGGGCUCAUGUAAACUAGUUGCUUUUAUGAUUUAAUGAGUACGGUUUCUUAUCCUGUUGAAUGCUUCUUGCAGGAGGGCUUUAAGACUGAUUCUUUAAGGAUCAUGAAGGAUAUACAAAAUAGUGCUGGCGGUUGCCAGGUAACUUUUUUAGUAAUUGACUACUUUUGACUGUGACAGUAGAAUCACACACAACAGCUUGCACCUUGGUUACAUGUCAAAAUCAGAUGCGAGUAUAUUUUGAAUGUUGGGACUUGGUAGGUUAUCAAGGGAGAUAACCUAUUCCUAUGCUUUGUAUGUGCUCAUGUGCUGCUUCUUGAACUUCUUAUCAAUUGCUAAUGGUUCCUAUGCUCUGUAUGUGCUCAUGUGCUGCUUCUUGAAUUUCUUAUCAAUUGCUAAUGGUAGGUAGAGGCUUUGGAAAAGGGUAAUUUUCUUUAUGCAGUGGGUUGUAUCCAAUUUCCAAGUUUUCUGGAUUGUGGUAUUCAUUUUCUUUAUUUUUGGAAGACUGCAUAUUUCAUGUAUGGGGCAUCUUUGAAGAUGAUAGUUUUAGGACUAGAAAGAACCCUAUACUGUGGUGUGUUCUAUGUAAUUGGUUAAUUGCACAUUCAGGCAUUCCUAUUAUCGUAAUCUUAAAGCCAAUCUGCUGGUGUUAUUGCCUUAGUUUUUCCAAGUUUUUUCAUUGAUGGCGUUGAUAUACUUUCAGUCCUCAAAUAGCCUUGUCCAUGUGGUGGAUAAUCUUUUGUAAUGCUUGUACCUGUCGGUGUAAUCCCAUGGCUGUGCCAUUCAACUAGCCUUGGCUAUAUAAUUGCUAAAUUCUUGGUUAGAUGUGAUUGUUUCUGUUUCCAUAUGGUUCCUUUUUUUACUUAUUUUAAUUCUAUUUAUGCCAGGUGCUUCUCUUCUCUGCGACCUUCAAUGAGAAAGUGAAGGAGUUUGUUACAAAGGCCAUUAAGGACGGAAACCAAAUAUUUGUGAAGAAGGAAGAUCUUACUUUGGAAAAAGUAAAGCAAUAUAAAGUCCGAGUCCCUGAUGAGGCGGCCAAAAUAGAGGUUAUAAGGGACAAGAUCUUUGAGUUUGGGCAAAAGGUUGGACAGGUUAUCAUCUUUGUGAGAACAAGAAAUAGUACUAAGAAUGUACAUAAUGCUUUGACAAAAGAGGACUAUGUGUGCUCCUCAAUUCAAGGAUCCCUUGACCAAGCAGAGAGGGAAAAAGUAAUUCAGGAAUUCAAAGAUGGGUACACCAAGGUUCUUAUAUCAACUGAUGUUCUUGCUCGAGGUUUUGACCAAGCACAGGUACUAUGCGCGCCGUGCUAUUUUGACACACCAGUUAAAAUUUUCCUUCUAACAUUCUUCCUUUGAAAGGUUAACCUGGUCAUCAACUACGACAUGCCAAUCAAGUAUAAUACGAGAGAUGAACCUGAUUAUGAGGUGUACCUGCACAGAAUUGGCAGAGCUGGGCGCUUUGGCCGAAAAGGUAAAUUUAUGUCUUAUCAGUCUAUUAUGUACAUACACCACUGUAGCAUAUUGGUCAACACCGUGCCAGACAGUCGCGGUGUUAAUAGGAAUUAAAUGGCUUGGGAUAAUGACAGAUUGAACCUGUUAACCAUCGAUAAGCAAACACGCUACAUUUAGUCAAUCGUAAUGCCUGUUUGUUCUAGCCUAAGGAUGAACUUGUCAGCAGAACCAGUCUUCUGCGAGUAGGAUUUGGCAAUAGGAUUUUUAGCUUCCUAUAUGAUAGAACUGAUGUGACCAUUGUUUGUUGAUUAUAGAUGUCACGUUUGUUUGCUCAUUUUCAUUUUUUUUCUUCAGAGGUUGUGAUUUCCUAUUUCUGGAGAUUUUCAAUUGAUUUUCUUGGAUAGUUUUCAUGAUUUAUCAGUUGGACACAUAAUAAGUUGUGUUAUAUACCAGUUUAUGAGUUAAUCGCUGUUGAGUAGAGUUGCUUAUCUUGUGGCCUAACUGAAAUUUUGGUGGUGACAGGAGCUGUGUUCAACCUGCUAUGUGGUCAAACUGAUGAAGUUGUGAUGACAAAGAUCGAGGACUACUUCCAGCACAAAGUGCCUGAGGUCCCCAACUGGAAAAGCGAGGACAAUUUUGAGACUGCUCUUAAGGAUGCGGGUUUACUUGAGUAAACUGUUUACUGGCAGAAAUAGGUGGCGGCAAAUUGCGCGCUUAUUUGAUUAUGUUGUCACCAGCACUUGGGUUCUUUCUUUUGUACCAGAUGCUUGUGUCUGGAGUUGUGUGGAUUAUGUUGAGCUGAUGCGAUGAAUUCUAUGAGGGAGAGUCCAUUUUUAUUGCUCGUUCGUUUGAGGUUUUCAAGUCCUCUUCACACACGCCCAUGUAAUUUCGUUUGAGAAUUCAUUUGUAUGUUAUACUUGUACUACUACGCAUGUGUACAGAUUGAUCGCAGUGGGCAGUUACAAGAUUCAUCCCCAUGUGUAAGAAUGUACAUGAUUGAUUUCCUCUCUAACUCUGUUGGCACGCAAGAAAAAGGAAGUGUUACAAGUUGUCGUGCUCGAUGACCUGAGCGCCCCUCCACUCCUUGCCGGGGCCGACGACGACGGGCACGAGGAUGGACGCCGGCCCGGUGCAGAGGAAGUAGUCGUUGCCGAACUUCUCGUACAAUCCUCCCGGGCUGCUCAGGUACAUGUCCUCGAACCCCAUCCUCACCAGCCUGAACCCCAGCCCGCUAGACUGUCCAAGCAAAUCACAAGCCAUAUAUCAUCAGUGAGCAAUGCGAAUGGAUGAUGCAUCCCAAGCCAAGAGACGAACGAACCUGGUCGAUGGUGGUGAACUUGGACGGCGCGGUGCUGUAGAUGCGCUUCUUCCUCUCCUCGGGCGGCGCCGCGUACACCCUGCUCACCUUCUUCUUGAGGAUGGUGUAGAGGUUCUCCUCCACGGUCCAGGCGCCCUGCCGGGGCUCCUCCCCGCCGCCGCCGAACCACCCGGACUCCUCCCGCUUCAUGGCCUCGGCGGGGGUGAGCAGCGCGAACCCGGACGCCGGCGGCGGGUGGGAGCAGUAGGGGCAGCCGCGGAGCCCCUCCACGGCCGUGCCCCGCCGCUUGUCGAACUUGAUGUGGCUCAGCACGGCGCCCGUCAGCUCCACCGGCUUGGCCCCGUUGUUCUUGACGAUCACCGCCGUCGCCAUGCUCAGCGGGUACAGCGUCACCACGUACGACACCUCCAGCUUGGCCCCCUUGGCGCUGCACCCGAGCUCCACCUGCACGGCGUCGUAUGAGUCCGAGUCCACGUCCGCCACGGACCACUCGGACGCGCCGAGGAGUGACGCGCCGCCGGACGACGAGGAGGAGGCCUCGUUGAGCACGAGCCCGACGCCGCCCUUGACCGCGCCGGCGCCGGCCACGGUGUGCAGCAGCUCCCGGCAGCCGUCCCCGCCCUCCCAGGACACCUUGGGCCGGUACGACGUGACCAGCCCGUCGUUGAGCCGCAGCUGCAGCGAGCUGCCGUUGCGCACGCUCAGCUCCGCCGUGGGCGCGCCCGUGGCGUCCGUCCCGAACCGGAGGCCCUUCCGGCCGAAGGUCUCCUCCAGCUGCGACGUCUGCGUAGCGGCGGGCACCGUCGACGCGACGCCCGAGGCUGCCCUCGCGGCCACGGUGGCCGGCCUGGGGGAGGCCGGGAGGUGGAGCGGGAGGAAGGAGGAGGCGGCCAUCAUCGGAGCUAGCGCUGGAGUGAGUGAUAGCUAGCGGAGAAGGGGAAGGUGCUGGCCUUCCCCUUGAGAGUCGAGGCCGAUUGGGUGUCACUGACUGCAGCCUCAUAUCCACCGGCUUGAGGAUAGGUGGUUUCGCGCUCGCUCCUUGUCCGUGUCCUCUCCUUGCUCUGCUGCGACUGCGAGCCUGCCUAGCAACAGCUUGAUACCGGAAUGAGCAUGCAGAAAAGAAAAUGAUCUUUGUUUUCGCAAUUCAGAAACUUCCAAAAUAGAUGACCCAACUUUGUACUAACUUUAAUAUAAAAUUGGGUCAUCUAUUUUGGAACCGAGAGAGUAGUAUGUUUCAAUUUUUAUUCAGAGGAACUCUGAGGCCGAUGCUAAAUUCAUGAAUGUUCGCGUUGAUAGGAAUUUACUUGUAGGAACGGAUCUCAAAUGGGAGUUCUACAAGUAUAUGUACACUUUCGCAACAACAACGACAAAAGACAAGUAUAUGUAAAGUGAUGGACUGUAUACAAUAUCAUGAUGUUGUAGCUAUGACUACAUUAAGGCAUUAAAACCGAACCGUACGUACAAGUCAGGAUGGCCGAGUGGUCUAAGGCGCCAGACUCAAGUUCUGGUCCUCUAACGAGGGCGUGGGUUCAAACCCCACUUCUGACAAUAAUUUUUGCUUUUUUCCUUGCUUAAUUUCCUGACAAUAAUUUAUCUUUUGCGAGAUUCUUCAGGCUAUCCUACGGCUGGCAGAAGAGAAGAAACUGCUGACAGACAAUACCUACUUUGGCAAUGGUGGACUGAACGUAAUCGGGGCAACCACGGUGAGAAACGGCUGGAAACUGACGCAUUCCAAUACUGUCCGGAGCCAUGUUCAGCGAAUGGUCUGACUGACGCCCUCCAUGCGUAGGCCUUGGCCCUCUCCCGUGGCUGAUCAGCUUGGAGUUGGCCGGGCGCUUUUCCUUUUUGCGGGUGAUCUCUUCCGUGGCAUCAAGUUUAAAUCCAGUACCAAGUUCAUUCAGACUGAGAUUGUACAUGUUGGACGUAGCUGUAACAAGCCAACGCAUGUGCUGGCCGCCAUGGGUCCAGUAUCAGCUGAUGGUGAAGCGUGCUUGUGGGUUGAUAGUUUCCCUGUCGAUGUAACCCGUGUUGUAACCAGCAUUUUUGCCGUGCCCUAGAUGGAAUACGAGUGUUUCCAUUUCAACAACAAAAAAAAAAUCUCGUUCGCUCCUUUUCAACUUCUCAUUUAGCUUCAAAAUUUACCCUAAAGUAGCCCCGCCAGCAAUUUAUCUGAACAUCCCUCUUCCAUGCAUUCUACUUCCUCCGUCCCAAAAUGUAAGAUGUUUUUGCUAGGAGGGAGUAGAUGUUACCCCACCGCACCGCGCGGAGCCUGAUUGGCAAACAAGUGCAGAUAAAAUUUUACCGUUGAUUCAACCACGAAUCCCUCUCAUCCAGGAAAAAAACUAUCAGGGAGGCGACCAACUCCUCGUGCGCUCUGCCGGCGAGGUCGUGGGUUCUCUUGCCCCAAUCACCGCUCCGACGAUGGAUGGGUGAGGGAACCCCGGCUCUCUGCCUCCGUUGUAGGUAGGGUUAGGUUUAGUGUGUUCCACGAAGGUGCAUGGAUGACGGUGAUGCCGGCAUUUGGAAUAAAAUUUCCCAAGCUCAAUCCCAUCUCGACGACAUCCUCGGUGGUGAAAUCGAGGGAUCUGCGGGAACCUUAUUCCAUCGUUUCCUUGGUGCGAUGGAUCUAAUGGUGUUUGUUGUGUGCAUGUCAGAUCUCACCUCAUGCGGUGUCCUCUUUGUUUGGGGGAAGGUAAAGGUCAGAGUACUUGGUGGGACGUUGGCGGUAGCGAUAUUCACGGAAUGUGUGGACAUCUCUACCUUGAUUGGGAAGGUCAAGUUUAAAUAUUAUUUUCGAUCAGCAAAUCAAGUGGCGCAUGUGCUAGCUAGGUUUAGUUAUUCCAAUAAAGUUUCUUCUAGUUGGACCGAUGAGCCUCCAGAUUAUCUGGUGAGCAAGCUCGUAGAUGAUGUAUCUCUACUGAUUAAUCAAUAAAGCUAGUCAUGAUGGUCUUCUCUCAAAAGAAAAAAGAACAAGGUUCGAGGCUCGUGGGUGGCGGUUCCGGUGUUUUGUCUCGACGACAUCAACGGCAUGCAACGGACCUGCAUUUCGAGUAGCAAGGGAUGAUCCCCAGUUGACGGGCCAGAACGAAAAUGGACUUGCCGACGACAAUCCUCUUCUUCGACUCACAAAGCCCUCAUGGGCGGUGUUGCUUCUUUGUCUUCGAAGGCCGCAAGUGGCGAGGAUGGUCUUUGUAGAAAUCUGCUUCAAUGGAGUUUUCUAGCAAAUAUUUCUGGACAUGCGUCCUCUCUCUUUUUCUCCCGUGGUUUUCAUGAUUCCGUGUUGUAAUUUGACGUAUGUUUAAUGGUGUGCGAAAUUUCUAAGAAAAAAAACGAGAGGCCACCUUAACGAAUCCAUAUUUGCCUGCCAACGAUCCGGCCGGCCUCCAAAUAAGUUCCAACUUUCCAAGUAACAAAUUCAUGAAGGGAUCACCAGAGCAGAGCAGCAUGAUCGUGUCUACUUGUGCGCCAAUUGCCUUGGCGAUGGACACGUACUUGUCCUUCCCCGCACGGCCUCGUCCGCGACGUACUCCCCCGCCCACCGGCACAGCGCCGGGUGCUCGUCCUCGGCGAGCAGCGUCACCCCGGCCAUCUCCUCGAACACCCCCAGCCAGUGCGCGAGCCCGCUGGCGGCGACGUCGAGGAAGCCGACGCGGUCGCCGCCGAAGAACCUCCUCCCGCCGAGCUUCGUGCAUUUUGUGCUGGUGUACAUAUUUGCCACAAACUUCCUCGUAGCUUCGUAUUGGCGAUACGUUCUAUAGUAUACGUGCUAUGUUCUCCCGCCGCUGAAAGUUACCUACCGUCAGUCUUAAUCCGGCAAGCUCUAAACAAAUAACAAACCAUUGUUAGCUAGCUACUAGUACUAUGUGUCUAGUGAUGUAUAACUUUCGUUACUUCAUGUUUUGGAUGCAAUGGGUAGCCUCUCCAACCAAGCUUCAGAUUUUCGAAGAGGUCAAAACAAGAGGGAAGGAAGGUAUAUACCCCUACACUUGUUACAACCAUGUAAAACAAGGUGCAUGUUAGUCAAGGAAUUGAAACAAAGAUCCCAAUUUCCCUGGAAAACCAAAAGCCUGAACCAUGGAGUAGUGUUGACAAGUAGUGACACCACCAUGACACAGCAGCUAGCGAUCGUUCCAAAUUCUUUUUAAGCUGAGCUUGACACCUCUCUAGGAUACAAACCAGUGACCCACUGACAAGGACAUUUAUUCACAUACCACUCACCAAGCAACCAAAAACAGGCAUCGAAAUUCUGAAGCAUGUCAAGUGGACAAGCAGUGAGCAACACAGCACUCAACCAAGCACACCACCGCUUUUCUUCCCCAAACGGAACCACAAGCAAAGCACAGAUGCAACGGCCUCCAAAAGAAGCCACACCUUUGCCAAACUUGCCUUUGCCCGGUCAGCUUCGCACCAUCUAUCAUCAUCCAUCUAGUGGAGUGGAGCACCCAAAAACGGAGGCCUCCGCAUCAGCAGAUACGAAACCAAAGCAAGAUUUCUGUUGUAAUAUAAUCUUAAUAAGACGCGAAAACAGCUCCAAUCUAGAACCCACUUUCAGAUCCACUCACCCAACACUCGACACAAACACAUAGUACUUACUCAAACACCACCAAAUACCGACCGAAAACAGACGCGACACAACCGCACCAUGCCACCGGGUACGACACUACCUUUGUCUUGCCACAGGUUCUCUUUUCUCUUUUUCUGGCGAUUCCGAUGAUACCACUAUAGGAGGAGUCUUUAGAGCUAAGCAAACUGAAAUAGGGAUGACGAUAAUACGACGACGACAGAAGAAGAAAAAGGAGAGAGCUAGGGAAACCUAACUAUCCGACCCGCUUUCCAGCAGCCACCUUUGGUGAUCAGUACCUUGGGACCCCGCAUGUCUCGCCUGGUUCGCCAGCACCGUCCGUUUGUUCUUCAUGGCUAGCUGGGAGGAUCGGGUAUGCGAUCAAGCAGCUACACCGGUCUUGACAGCACCGUUGGCAACGACAGGCUUCUUCUCGGUCGCCGCAGGCUUCUUCUCGGCCGCUGCUGUUUGGGCCACCUUCGCCGCGUAGGUAACGGCUGGAGGAGCAGCGGUGGCAGCGGCUUUCUCUGCCGGAACCUUCGCAUCCCCGUUAACACCAUUCGCUACAGGCGACUUUGGCUUCCCAUUGACAGCAUCCUGCUGUUUCUCUCCACUGACACCGUUCGGUACAGAUACCUUUGGCUUCCCGUUGGCGACUUCCUGUUGUUUCUCUCCAGCAACAGGGUUCGGAGCCCUGCUGUCCCAC